rnacentral:rRNA from 1 species
GAUAAACGCUGGCGGCGCACAUAAGACAUGCAAGUCGAACGGACUUAACUCGAAGUUUACUUUGAGAGCGGUUAGUGGCGGACUGGUGAGUAACGCGUGAGCAACCUGCCUAUUAGAGGGGAAUAACAGUGAGAAAUCACUGCUAAUACCGCAUAUGCUUACACUAUCACAUGAUACAGUUAGGAAAGGAGCAAUCCGCUAAUAGAUGGGCUUGCGUCUGAUUAGCUAGUUGGUGGGUAACGGCCUACCAAGGCGACGAUCAGUAGCCGGACUGAGAGGUUGAACGGCCACAUUGGGACUGAGAUACGGCCCAG